GUAGGUGGCAAGCGUUGUCCGGAAUUAUUGGGCGUAAAGCGCGCGCAGGCGGUUCUUUAAGUCUGAUGUGAAAGCCCACGGCUCAACCGUGGAGGGUCAUUGGAAACUGGAGAACUUGAGUACAGAAGAGGAAAGCGGAAUUCCACGUGUAGCGGUGAAAUGCGUAGAGAUGAGGAGGAACACCAGUGGCGAAGGCGGCUUUCUGGUCUGUAACUGACGCUGAGGCGCGAAAGCGUGGGGAGCAAACAGGGAUUAGAUACCCUGGUAGUCCACGCCGUAAACGAUGAGUGCUAAGUGUUAGGGGGGUUUCCGCCCCCUUAGUGCUGCAGCUAACGCAUUAAGCACUCCGCCUGGGGAUACGGCCGCAAGGCUG
rnacentral:rRNA from 1 species